rnacentral:rRNA from 1 species
CCUACGGGCGGCAGCAGUGAGGAAUAUUGGUCAAUGGUCGGGAGACUGAACCAGCCAAGCCGCGUGAGGGAGGAAGGUACAGAGUAUCGUAAACCUCUUUUGUCAGGGAACAAAGACUGGGACGCGUCCCCGGAUGAGUGUACCUGAAGAAAAAGCAUCGGCUAACUCCGUGCCAGCAGCCGCGGUAAUACGGGGGAUGCGAGCGUUAUCCGGUUUUAUUGGGUUAAAAGGGUGCGAAGGCGGGCUGUUAAGUCAGGGGUAAAAGCCCGGGGCUCAACCCCGGCCCGCCGUUGAAACUGGCAGUCUCGAGUUGGAGAGAAGUAUGCGGAAUGCGCGGUGUAGCGGUGAAAUGCAUAGAUAUCGCGCAGAACUCCGAUUGCGAAGGCAGCAUGCCGGCUCCACACUGACGCUGAGGCACGAAAGCGUGGGUAUCGAACAGGAUUAGAUACCCUAGUAGUC